rnacentral:miRNA from 1 species
CCUUUUAUCACGGUAACAAUG